UCUGAUGGAGCACGCCGCGUGAGUGAAGAAGGUCUUCGGAUCGUAAAACUCUGUUGUUAGAGAAGAACACGAGUGAGAGUAACUGUUCAUUCGAUGACGGUAUCUAACCAGCAAGUCACGGCUAACUACGUGCCAGCAGCCGCGGUAA
rnacentral:rRNA from 1 species